rnacentral:rRNA from 2 species
UUAAGCGACUAAGCGUACACGGUGGAUGCCCUGGCAGUCAGAGGCGAUGAAGGACGUGCUAAUCUGCGAUAAGCGCCGGUAAGGUGAUAUGAACCGUUAUAACCGGCGAUUUCCGAAUGGGGAAACCCAGUGUGACUCGUCACACUAUCAUUAACUGAAUCCAUAGGUUAAUGAGGCGAACCGGGGGAACUGAAACAUCUAAGUACCCCGAGGAAAAGAAAUCAACCGAGAUUCCCCCAGUAGCGGCGAGCGAACGGGGAGGAGCCCAGAGCCUGAAUCAGCAUGUGUGUUAGUGGAAGCGUCUGGAAAGGCGCGCGAUACAGGGUGACAGCCCCGUACACAAAAGCGCAUAUGCUGUGAGCUCGAUGAGUAGGGCGGGACACGUGGUAUCCUGUCUGAAUAUGGGGGGACCAUCCUCCAAGGCUAAAUACUCCUGACUGACCGAUAGUGAACCAGUACCGUGAGGGAAAGGCGAAAAGAACCCCGGCGAGGGGAGUGAAAAAGAACCUGAAACCGUGUACGUACAAGCAGUGGGAGCCCCACCACUAAGCCAGUGGUGAACUCCACAUACGCAUCCUUUGCUGAGGAUACGGUUAACGGAGCGAAAGCGACGUUCAACCGCAAAAGAAGCAGAGGGGGCUUAGUGGUGGGGUGACUGCGUACCUUUUGUAUAAUGGGUCAGCGACUUAUAUUCUGUAGCAAGGUUAACCGAAUAGGGGAGCCGGAGGGAAACCGAGUCUUAAUUGGGCGUUAAGUUGCAGGGUAUAGACCCGAAACCCGGUGAUCUAGCCAUGGGCAGGUUGAAGGUUGGGUAACACUAACUGGAGGACCGAACCGACUAAUGUUGAAAAAUUAGCGGAUGACCUGUGGCUGGGGGUGAAAGGCCAAUCAAACCGGGAGAUAGCUGGUUCUCCCCGAAAGCUAUUUAGGUAGCGCCUCGUGAAUUCAUCUCCGGGGGUAGAGCACUGUUUCGGCUAGGGGGCCAUCCCGGCUUACCAACCCGAUGCAAACUGCGAAUACCGGAGAAUGUUAUCACGGGAGACACACGGCGGGUGCUAACGUCCGUCGUGAAGAGGGAAACAACCCAGACCGCCAGCUAAGGUCCCAAAGUCAUGGUUAAGUGGGAAACGAUGUGGGAAGGCCCAGACAGCCAGGAUGUUGGCUUAGAAGCAGCCAUCAUUUAAAGAAAGCGUAAUAGCUCACUGGUCGAGUCGGCCUGCGCGGAAGAUGUAACGGGGCUAAACCAUGCACCGAAGCUGCGGCAGCGACGCUGAUGCGUUGUUGGGUAGGGGAGCGUUCUGUAAGCCUGUGAAGGUGUGUCGUGAGGCAUGCUGGAGGUAUCAGAAGUGCGAAUGCUGACAUAAGUAACGAUAAAGCGGGUGAAAAGCCCGCUCGCCGGAAGACCAAGGGUUCCUGUCCAACGUUAAUCGGGGCAGGGUGAGUCGACCCCUAAGGCGAGGCCGAAAGGCGUAGUCGAUGGGAAACGGGUUAAUAUUCCCGUACUUGGUGUUACUGCGAAGGGGGGACGGAGAAGGCUAUGUUGGCCGGGCGACGGUUGUCCCGGUUUAAGCGUGUAGGUGUGUGUUCCAGGUAAAUCCGGUUCACUUUAACACUGAGGCGUGAUGACGAGGCACUACGGUGCUGAAGCAACAAAUGCCCUGCUUCCAGGAAAAGCCUCUAAGCAUCAGGUAACAUCAAAUCGUACCCCAAACCGACACAGGUGGUCAGGUAGAGAAUACCAAGGCGCUUGAGAGAACUCGGGUGAAGGAACUAGGCAAAAUGGUGCCGUAACUUCGGGAGAAGGCACGCUGACACGUAGGUGAAGUGAUUUACUCAUGGAGCUGAAGUCAGUCGAAGAUACCAGCUGGCUGCAACUGUUUAUUAAAAACACAGCACUGUGCAAACACGAAAGUGGACGUAUACGGUGUGACGCCUGCCCGGUGCCGGAAGGUUAAUUGAUGGGGUCAGCGCAAGCGAAGCUCCUGAUCGAAGCCCCGGUAAACGGCGGCCGUAACUAUAACGGUCCUAAGGUAGCGAAAUUCCUUGUCGGGUAAGUUCCGACCUGCACGAAUGGCGUAAUGAUGGCCAGGCUGUCUCCACCCGAGACUCAGUGAAAUUGAACUCGCUGUGAAGAUGCAGUGUACCCGCGGCAAGACGGAAAGACCCCGUGAACCUUUACUAUAGCUUGACACUGAACAUUGAGCCUUGAUGUGUAGGAUAGGUGGGAGGCUUUGAAGUGUGGACGCCAGUCUGCAUGGAGCCGACCUUGAAAUACCACCCUUUAAUGUUUGAUGUUCUAACGUGGACCCGUGAUCCGGGUUGCGGACAGUGUCUGGUGGGUAGUUUGACUGGGGCGGUCUCCUCCUAAAGAGUAACGGAGGAGCACGAAGGUUGGCUAAUCCUGGUCGGACAUCAGGAGGUUAGUGCAAUGGCAUAAGCCAGCUUGACUGCGAGCGUGACGGCGCGAGCAGGUGCGAAAGCAGGUCAUAGUGAUCCGGUGGUUCUGAAUGGAAGGGCCAUCGCUCAACGGAUAAAAGGUACUCCGGGGAUAACAGGCUGAUACCGCCCAAGAGUUCAUAUCGACGGCGGUGUUUGGCACCUCGAUGUCGGCUCAUCACAUCCUGGGGCUGAAGUAGGUCCCAAGGGUAUGGCUGUUCGCCAUUUAAAGUGGUACGCGAGCUGGGUUUAGAACGUCGUGAGACAGUUCGGUCCCUAUCUGCCGUGGGCGCUGGAGAACUGAGGGGGGCUGCUCCUAGUACGAGAGGACCGGAGUGGACGCAUCACUGGUGUUCGGGUUGUCAUGCCAAUGGCACUGCCCGGUAGCUAAAUGCGGAAGAGAUAAGUGCUGAAAGCAUCUAAGCACGAAACUUGCCCCGAGAUGAGUUCUCCCUGAGACUUAAAGUCUCCUGAAGGAACGUUGAAGACGACGACGUUGAUAGGCCGGGUGUGUAAGCGCAGCGAUGCGUUGAGCUAACCGGUACUAAUGAACCGUGAGGCUUAACCUU